AACGCGUAGAAAUCUGCCUUGAGAUGGGGGAUAACAGUCCGAAAGGAUUGCUAAUACCGCAUAUGUAUGUACUCGGACACGAGUGUAUAUGAAAGGAGUAAUCCGUCUUAAGAUGAGUCUGCGUCCGAUUAGCUAGUUGGUAGGGUAAAAGCCUACCAAGGCGACGAUCGGUAGCUGGUCUGAGAGGAUGACCAGCCACAAUGGGACUGAGACACGGCCCAU
rnacentral:rRNA from 1 species